rnacentral:rRNA from 1 species
UACGUAGGUAGCGAGCGUUGUUCGGAAUUACUGGGCGUAAAGAGUGUGUAGGCGGUGCUCUAAGUUCGGUGUGAAAUCUCCUGGCUUAACUGGGAGGGUGCGCCGGAAACUGGAGUGCUCGAACGUGGGAGAGGAAAGCGGAAUUCCUGGUGUAGCGGUGAAAUGCGUAGAUAUCAGGAGGAACACCUGCGGUGUAGACGGCUUUCUGGACCAUUGUUGACGCUGAGACACGAAAGCGUGGGUAGCAAACAGG